UUUGGAACUAGAACUGCCA
rnacentral:miRNA from 1 species